UUACAUUUACAACACAGCAAAAAUGAACACAAAUUAAAUAAAUAUAUUUCUAGAAAAAAAGUUUUAAAACUAGCAAUCUUCAAAUCUAAUCUAGCUCAUCUGGCAAGCUUAAGAAGUAUAAUAAAACAAGCCUAAUAUAAUGAAAGUAACAAUUAGACUGUGAUUUUAUUUUUUUCAAAAGGUCAAUUCCAAAAUUCCAAGGGAUGCUUAUCACAUAUUAGGACAGCUAGCAGAUAUAAACUUGAAUACUAAAUAGUUCAAUUUGCUUUUAAGUAAGCAUUAAAAACUGAAAAUAUAUUCAGCGUUGGUGUAGUGUGAAAGAAAAGGGUUAUACUGAUUUAUAGUGAUACUCAUUUAAUGUAUUUUAUGAAAUACAUACACAAUGCGAAGUUGUCUGAAAAAAAUCAAAAAGCAUAUGGGUCCUGAGCAUUUGGAUAUUUACAGAAUGUAAACUGAUAUUCCAUAAAAAAAGCCAUGGAUUAUAGUCACAAAUGCAAUUUUUAAAAAUUAAAUAUGUCAUUCCAUGUCUAAAUGCACCACUGUAAUAGUUAUAGCAUUCAUUUUUAUGAGGUCAAGAAGGAUGUACAUUUUUUCAUAAUUCAAAGUCAGUGAAUUUACCUUUUACUUUCCAUUUCUGCUUAAAAUAAGGGUAGCUGAAUAUUAUUAAGUACAUGACUGAAUUCAAAAAAUUUAGUUCAUCCUCAGUAUUUUUGGGAUACUCUAGUAUAAACUUUUUCAAAAGUAAGAAGCAUAUUAGAGAAAAAAAAAUCUAAGUUUCUGCCUUUAUUAAGUUUAUAUAUUUUCUCUUCCUUUCUUUUUACUGGGAAGUAAUUAUAAUGCUUAGAAAUAUAUUUCUCAGUAUUGUCAACUUUAUGAACCUAUUUGCUUAAAGAAAAUACACUCUAAGAAAUGUGACAAUUGAUGAAUGGUAGCAUCUCAUGUGUCUUGCUUUCUUUUUGUUUCUUUACACAAUGAUUGUUCAAAUGAAGGCUAUGGACAAACUGUACAUGAUUAUGAUAAUGCAUUCAUCAUGUGAAAAUUAGAAUGCAAUAUAUUUUUUUCUAAGCAAUGAUAUAAUUAUUAGCUAAAUCCUUCUUUAUUUGAAUUUUAAGAUUGUAAUGAUAGUGCUAACAUAAUCGUUUUCUUUAAUCAUCACUGGCUUAUUUAUUAAGCUAGCUUUUAGUUAGUAGCUUGAAAGCUAUGAUUCUCUUUCACCAUUUAUUUUAGUAACUGAAAAAACUUGGAAUUAAUUCUUUGAAGUAUCUUUGGAAAAAUGUCUUCUGAAAUGAAUGGCUCACCUCAUGCUCCAGGAAAUGUUCUAAAAUGGCAAUUGUCCAACAAUAACAAUAAUUAAAUCUUAGGCCAAAUUAACUUGGUUUAUUUGAAGAGACAGUGUGUGAAGGUUCCUUGGAGCUGGUCAAACCACUGAUAGGAAGAAGUGUUGAGUUAUGUCUCUGUGUCUGUUCCUGGUUGAUCUUCUUAAGGUAAGAUUAUGUUAGAUUUUCUAUUAGUAGGUUACAGUCAAUGACGAUAACUUACACUAACACAUCUAGAAGCAUCCUGUCAUAUGUGGCUAUUCAAAUCUGGUUUAUUUCUCAUGAUCUUGUUCACAGAUGUUCCCAACAAGUUAUCAUCUGAAAAAUCUGAGAUCACUGAAGAAUCAUGGUACUCUCUGAGCACUGACAGGAAUUCUAAAAUGAGUAAGAGUCAACCUCUCUUCUUAAAAAAAAUCAAGGAACACAAUAGUGAAACACCAGAACGGAGAUCUUAUCUGCACAUCCAGAUUGGGAAAGCUGGUAUGCUGGGGAGCACGAACAUGGGGUGUGUAUUUUUAUGAGGACCUGUGGCCACCUGGAAUAAAACAGUAAAGAGGGUUUUUGAAAUGAUGGAGAGACCUCAGUGUGCUGAGUGUAAGAUACUCGCCCAAGAAAGAGGAAAGGGGAAUUUUUCUUAGGUUGUGACCUGAUUUGACAGAAAACAUAUUCUGGGUUUUGGAAGAAAGAAGGAAUUUGUUCUCUGGUUAUUAUUAUUAUUUAGAUAUGAGAUGCUUUGGGGUUAUGCAAUUUUUUUCUGGACUACUUUUUUGCAAGAAGUGGGGCAUGCUCCAAAUUCCUUGAUUAUUAUUUAUGGGCCAGGGUUUAAAAAAAAAAAAAAAAAAAAAA